rnacentral:rRNA from 1 species
AGCAGUCGCCGCGGUAAUACGUAGGUCCCGAGCGUUGUCCGGAUUUAUUGGGCGUAAAGCGAGCGCAGGCGGUUAGAUAAGUCUGAAGUUAAAGGCUGUGGCUUAACCAUAGUACGCUUUGGAAACUGUUUAACUUGAGUGCGGAAGGGGAGAGUGGAAUUCCAUGUGUAGCGGUGAAAUGCGUAGAUAUAUGGAGGAACACCGGUGGCGAAGGCGACUCUCUGGUCUGUAACUGACGCUGAGGAGCGAAAGCGUGGGGAGCGAACAGGAUUAGAUACCCGAGUAGUCCCUGUCUCUUAUACA